rnacentral:ribozyme from 1 species
AAAAAAAAUAUCAUAGCAACAACAAAAAAGAAACCCAACCUCCCCUUCUUUUCCCUCUCGUACGUACGGACAGAGCCUCCUCUUUCUUCUCUUCUUUUCUUAUUCUCUUUUCUUCUUUCUUUCU